rnacentral:rRNA from 1 species
GACGAACGCUGGCGGCGUGCCUAAUACAUGCAAGUUGAGCGCUGAAGGUUGGUACUUGUACCAACUGGAUGAGCAGCGAACGGGUGAGUGACGCGUGGGGAAUCUGCCUUUGAGCGGGGGACAACAUUUGGAAACGAAUGCUAAUACCGCAUAAAAACUUUAAACACAAGUUUUAAGUUUGAAAGAUGCAAUUGCAUCACUCAAAGAUGAUCCCGCGUUGUAUUAGCUAGUUGGUGAGGUAAAGGCUCACCAAGGCGAUGAUACAUAGCCGACCUGAGAGGGUGAUCGGCCACAGUGGGACUGAGACACGGCCCAAACUCCUACGGGAGGCAGCAGUAGGGAAUCUUCGGCAAUGGACGAAAGUCUGACCGAGCAACGCCGCGUGAGUGAAGAAGGUUUUCGGAUCGUAAAACUCUGUUGGUAGAGAAGAACGUUGGUGAGAGUGGAAAGCUCAUCAAGUGACGGUAACUACCCAGAAAGGGACGGCUAACUACGUG